GGGGGAAAGAAACCAAUGUUUUGUUCUUCACGGAAAUACCCGCUGUUAUAACUUUUUAUCGGAGCACUCCAGGUUUCAUGCUGAAACAAAUAAUCUCACAGAUAUUUACACAGUGUGGUGGGGUGCUUUUAUGUUUAAAAUCGUUAUAUACAGGUUAGACUGUGAUUUAACAAAUGUUGAUAUCUUUUUAUAAUAUUUACAACCAAAAAAAAAAAAAAAAACGGUGCGGGAAAUGGACAUGAUUACAAUUCCGGAUGCGGGAAGCGGGAAUAUAAAAAAAAAUAAAAAAAUUCUGUUUUGAAAAAAAUAGGUGCGGGCGGGUCCGUCGAACAAGGGAUCAGAUUGGUGUGGCC
rnacentral:lncRNA from 1 species